rnacentral:lncRNA from 9 species
AAGGCUAUUUGUCGCUGCACUCUAUCCCCUUCCUUCCAAAUAUGGGGAAACAAUUCUCUGUUUUCUAUGGGUCUAUUGUGUUUCUGCACAUCUUGAAAGAGAAGCAUUGACUGACCUUGGUUCCAGACGGUCUUUUCAAGGAAGCUUGUACCACAAACAGGCUUUGAAUAUAGAGACAAUGUCUAGAUUCAGAGCAAAGAGCAGGUUUGCUUAACAGCUUUGGAAGAUGGAAAUAAUGUCUCCCUCUGGAACAAAGGGCAGGUAUACUUACUGACUAUUAUAAAAGAUUUUGGUUCCCUAAGCUCAGAAUUCCUCGCCUGUAACAUAACCCCCUGUGCGUGCACCCAGCCCACUUCACCAACCUGGGUCAACUAAUGCUAGAAAGAACUGGCACAAAAAUGCCAGUACUCUGACUACUUCUAUUGCUGCGAGUAAUCAAUUGUUCUUUGUCUCCGAUCUAGGAGUUUUGUGUCUUCUACCAGCAUCUACACUACUGUGGCAGGCUAACAUUUUUGCUUGAAAGUGGGGUGAAAUAACAGACACUUCACAGUGUUUGGCCAUUUAAGAGAUGAAGAUGGGAAGCCAACUGGGACAUGGCAGCAUGAAGAAGGAAAGGUGGUAGUAUCACAGGGGCCCUGACUUUCCUCAAACUGAAGAUUUAACUAGCCGCUGAGGUCCGUCCUGACAACAUCUAAAGGUCAUCUAAAACGGACAGUGUCCCCAAGAUCUAUUUUUUAACCUCUAUUUGUAUACCACCAAGAUAAGAAGAAAGUUCAGGAAGAGGGAAAGCAAAGUUCAGAAGGAGACAAGAUUAAAAAGAAAAGAAGACAACUGAAUUGCUUUAAUACUAGAAUCAGAAAGGCAUGGGAUAAAUAUCAUGCAGAAGAAAGUAUAAAACAGGUAAGGAAUCGGUUUUUAACAUUUAUGGUUCUCAGCAGAAGUAGAAACAUAUGUUUGCCAAUAGCCAUGUAAAAGAACAUUCAUAACAGCCUUGUUCAUAGUAGCCUCAAAAUGGAAACCAUCCAAGGGUCCACCAACAAUAGAAUUGAUAAAUUAAGAUGAGAUGUGUU